CCAAAAAAAAAAAAAACCUGUGAGAUCACCAGUGAUGAGAACGAGAGAAGGAUUGAUCAUUUGAAGAGCAAGGACCACAAUCUUCUUGAAGUCAAGGGCUCUAUCAGGGUAGUGGACACUGAAAUGGAGAUCAGAGAGCUGAACCACCCAUAUCACUGAUUCUGGGCUCCCUUUCACUUCUAUCAACCUUUCACCCCAUUGUUUGGCUUGUGAGGAAACCAAUUUCUCUGUUUCUUCUUCUCUGUAUUCCUGUUGUGCAGCAAGUGAAGUGAUGGGUACAGAGGCGAGGAGGCAUAAACAGCAUCAAAACUAGAAUACCCA
rnacentral:misc_RNA from 1 species